rnacentral:rRNA from 1 species
UGGGGAAUUUUGGACAAUGGGCGAAANCCUGAUCCAGCAAUGCCGCGUGUGUGAAGAAGGCCUUCGGGUUGUAAAGCACUUUUGUCCGGAAAGAAAUCCUUGGCUCUAAUACAGUCGGGGGAUGACGGUACCAGAAGAAUAAGCACCGGCUAACUACGUGCCAGCAGCCGCGUAAUACGUAGGGCGCAAGCGUUAAUCGGAAUUACUGGGCGUAAAGCGUGCGCAGGCGGUUUGCUAAGACCGAUGUGAAAUCCCCGGGCUCAACCUGGGAACUGCAUUGGUGACUGGCAGGGCUAGAGUAUGGCAGAGGGGGGUAGAAUUCCACGUGUAGCAGUGAAAUGCGUAGAGAUGUGGAGGAAUACCGAUGGCGAAGGCAGCCCCCUGGGCCAAUACUGACGCUCAUGCACGAAAGCGUGGGGAGCAAACAGGAUUAGAUACCCUGGUAGUCCACGCCCUAAACGAUGUCAACUAGUUGUUGGGGAUUCAUUUCCUUAGUAACGUAGCUAACGCGUGAAGUU